rnacentral:rRNA from 1 species
UACAGAGGUCUCAACCGUUGUUCGGAUUCAUUGGGCGUAAAGGGUGCGUAGGCGGUCGUGCAAGUCGGAUGUGAAAUCUCAGGGCUCAACCCUGAAACUGCAUUCGAUACUGCGCGGCUAGAGUGCUGGAGGGGAGACUGGAAUUUACGGUGUAGCAGUGAAAUGCGUAGAUAUCAGGAGGAACACCAAUGGCGAAGGCAGCUCGCUGGAACGGUACUGACGCUGAGGCGCGAAAGCGUGGGGAGCGAACAGG